CCUUCGGCAAUACAGGAACCCGUCAGAUGUGUCCAGGGACCACAACGGAAAGCAAGCAAGCACGUCAGUCUCGCUCACACCACCUUCGGACGCUGGGCCUUCCUGACCACAGGUGGCCCUAUCUCGGCAUCUUUAAGUUGGCUAACUAACACAUUGGCUCGGCGCAACGGCAUUAAAAGAGAACCUAACCGAUACUAACCCCUAGAGCCUGCCUUUCCUGCCACACACGGAGGUGACCCCCAGCACAACGGUGUCCCCACCUACAGACUCCCCACCGCCAAGCCUCUGGAAGGGCACGCGGCCCCAGCCUGCACGGCUGAGCUGACCUGGACUCGACCUCCCCGCGGCUCCUUGUUCCUCCCGUCCUGCCUCGUCCCCCUCCCGUCCUGCCCCGUCCCCCUCCCGCCCUGCCCCGUCCCCCCCCCGUCCUGCCCCGUCCCCCUCCUGCCCUGCCCUGUGCCCCUCCCGUCCUGCCUCGUCUCCCCCGUCCUGCCUCGUCUCCCCCGCCCUGCCUCGUCCCCCUCCCGCCCUGCCCUGUGCCCCUCCCGUCCUGCCUCGUCUCCCCCGCCCUGCCUCGUCCCCCUCCCGCCCUGCCCUGUGCCCCUCCCAUCCUGCCUCGUCUCCCCCGUCCUGCCUCGUCCCCCUCCCGUCCUGCCUCGUCCCGCCUCCCAUGCGUGGCCGCAUGAGCCGCGGGGCGGAAUGGACGCCACGUCACUGUGUCCAUCAGGGAGCCCGGGAGGACACUGUGCAGGACGGACGGGUGACUCUCGGGCAUUCUGAGACCCCAGGCAGAGAAAACUGCGAGGCGCCCACCUGCUGAAACUGGCCCUCGGAGACGCCGUCGCGGUAGAAGAUGAUGCGCGUGGGCUUGAAGCGCGUGGACUUGUAGAACUGGAUGAGGAGCUCGCGGACCAUGGUGGCCAGGUCCUGGAUGAUCUCCUGCCGGUGCUGCUGAACCCGCACGGUGGCGCAGUAGCGGUUGGGGUGCGCGUCCAUGCUGCCCACGACCUGCCGGGCGAGGAGGAGCGCUGCUCUGGCUGCGCCCGGAGCGCGGCGGGGACACGUCGCCACCCCAGCCCACGGCGCGGGAAGGGGCAGUGGCCUGUCGGAGGCGAUCUGCUGCCUGGGGGGGUUUUGGGACGUGGGCAGUAACGUUUAUAAACAGGACAAAGAGUAGCAGCUGCUGAGAGUGUCUAACAAAACGUGGGCAAUUGGGCGCCUGGGGGGCUCAGUCGGUGGAGCGUCUGCCUUCGGCUCGGGUCAUGAUCCCGGGGUCCUGGGAUCGAGCCCCACAUCGGGCUCCCUGCUCGGCGGGAGGCCUGCUUCUCCCUCUCCCACUCCCCCUGCUUGUGUUCCCUCUCUCGCUGGGUCUCUCUCUGUCAAAUAAAUAAAUAAAAUCUUUAAAAAAAAAAAAAAGUGGGCAAUUGGGUGCCUGGGGGGCUCAGUCGUUACGUGUCUGCCUUCGGCUCAGGUCAUGAUCCCAGAAUCCUGGGAUCGAGCCCCGCAUCGGGCUCCCUGCUUGGCGGGAAGCCUGCUUCUCCCUCUCCCACUCCCCCUGCUUGUGUUCCCUCUCUUGCUGUCUGUCUCUCUGUCAAAUAUAUAAAUAAAAAAUCUUUAAAAAAAAAAAAAGAAAGAAAGAAAAAUUUUGAGUUCUGGGGCACCUG